UUAAUUCUGCAUGGCUUACUUUAUUUUCAACGCCAGAGUGUCAAAAAUUGAUCUCGGGUGAAGAUAUAUCUCUAGAUUUACGUGAUUUACGAAAACAUACACAAUAUUAUGGAGGUUUUCAUGAUAAACAUCGAGUAAUUUGUUGGCUUUGGGAUAUUCUUGAAAAAGAUUUUUCAGAAUCUGAAAAAGGUCUUUUCUUAAAAUUUGUUACUAGUUGCUCUAAAUCACCAUUAAUAGGAUUUGCUCAUUUGGAGCCUCCAUUUUCUAUUAGAUGUGUUGAAGUCGGUGAUGAUGAAGAUACUGGAGAUACAAUUGGUAGUGUAAUCAGAGGAUUUUUCACGAUUCACAAAAAAGAUCCACAAAACCGAUUACCAACAUCAUCAACUUGUUUUAAUUUAUUGAAGUUACCGAAUUAUAAAAAGAAAAAUAUUCUUCGUGAAAAAUUAUACUAUGCUGUUACAAGUAAUACUGGAUUUGAAUUGUCAUAAAAUAUUACACUAUAAUUAGAGAAAUACUUUUAUUUAGAAA